rnacentral:rRNA from 1 species
UACAGAGGGGGCAAGCGUUGUUCGGAAUUACUGGGCGUAAAGGGCGCGUAGGCGGCCUUCUAAGUCAGACGUGAAAUCCCCGGGCUCAACCCGGGAACUGCGUCCGAUACUGGAAGGCUUGAAUCCGGGAGAGGGAUGCGGAAUUCCAGGUGUAGCGGUGAAAUGCGUAGAUAUCUGGAGGAACACCGGUGGCGAAGGCGGCAUCCUGGACCGGCAUUGACGCUGAGGCGCGAAAGCCAGGGGAGCAAACGGG